CUCCUUUUUUGUCUCUGUACUGCUGAGAAGGGAGUUCCCCGCCUGUAGGUAUACUGGUUCUUCCUCCCCAGGUGCAUCACCUUGCACUUGUCAGUGUUGAAUCCCAUCCUAUUCUC